rnacentral:rRNA from 1 species
GAUGAACGCUGGCGGCGUGCCUAAUACAUGCAAGUCGAGCGAACGGACGAGAAGCUUGCUUCUCUGAUGUUAGCGGCGGACGGGUGAGUAACACGUGGAUAACCUACCUAUAAGACUGGGAUAACUUCGGGAAACCGGAGCUAAUACCGGAUAAUAUUUUGAACCGCAUGGUUCAAAAGUGAAAGACGGUCUUGCUGUCACUUAUAGAUGGAUCCGCGCUGCAUUAGCUAGUUGGUAAGGUAACGGCUUACCAAGGCAACGAUGCAUAGCCGACCUGAGAGGGUGAUCGGCCACACUGGAACUGAGACACGGUCCAGACUCCUACGGGAGGCAGCAGUAGGGAAUCUUCCGCAAUGGGCGAAAGCCUGACGGAGCAACGCCGCGUGAGUGAUGAAGGUCUUCGGAUCGUAAAACUCUGUUAUUAGGGAAGAAUAUAUGUGUAAGUAACUGUGCACAUCUUGACGGUACCUAAUCAGAAAGCCACGGCUAACUACGUGCCAGCAGCCGCGGUAAUACGUAGGUGGCAAGCGUUAUCCGGAAUUAUUGGGCGUAAAGCGCGCGUAGGCGGUUUUUUAAGUCUGAUGUGAAAGCCCACGGCUCAACCGUGGAGGGUCAUUGGAAACUGGAAAACUUGAGUGCAGAAGAGGAAAGUGGAAUUCCAUGUGUAGCGGUGAAAUGCGCAGAGAUAUGGAGGAACACCAGUGGCGAAGGCGACUUUCUGGUCUGUAACUGACGCUGAUGUGCGAAAGCGUGGGGAUCAAACAGGAUUAGAUACCCUGGUAGUCCACGCCGUAAACGAUGAGUGCUAAGUGUUAGGGGGUUUCCGCCCCUUAGUGCUGCAGCUAACGCAUUAAGCACUCCGCCUGGGGAGUACGACCGCAAGGUUGAAACUCAAAGGAAUUGACGGGGACCCGCACAAGCGGUGGAGCAUGUGGUUUAAUUCGAAGCAACGCGAAGAACCUUACCAAAUCUUGACAUCCUUUGACAACUCUAGAGAUAGAGCCUUCCCCUUCGGGGGACAAAGUGACAGGUGGUGCAUGGUUGUCGUCAGCUCGUGUCGUGAGAUGUUGGGUUAAGUCCCGCAACGAGCGCAACCCUUAAGCUUAGUUGCCAUCAUUAAGUUGGGCACUCUAAGUUGACUGCCGGUGACAAACCGGAGGAAGGUGGGGAUGACGUCAAAUCAUCAUGCCCCUUAUGAUUUGGGCUACACACGUGCUACAAUGGACAAUACAAAGGGCAGCGAAACCGCGAGGUCAAGCAAAUCCCAUAAAGUUGUUCUCAGUUCGGAUUGUAGUCUGCAACUCGACUACAUGAAGCUGGAAUCGCUAGUAAUCGUAGAUCAGCAUGCUACGGUGAAUACGUUCCCGGGUCU